GUGAGGAAUUUUCCGCAAUGGGCGAAAGCCUGACGGAGCAAUGCCGCGUGAAGGAUGAAGGCCUAUGGGUUGUAAACUUCUUUUCUCAGAAAAGAAUUAUGACGGUAUCUGAGGAAUAAGCAUCGGCUAACUCUGUGCCAGCAGCCGCGGUAAGACAGAGGAUGCAAGCGUUAUCCGGAAUGAUUGGGCGUAAAGCGUCUGUAGGUUGUUUAAAAAGUAUUCUGUCAAAGAUUAGGGCUUAACCCUAGAUAGGCAGAAUAAACUUUUAAGCUAGAGGUUGGUAGAGGCAGAGGGAAUUCCCGGUGGAGCGGUGAAAUGCGUAGAUAUCGGGAGGAACACCAAAGGCGAAGGCACUCUGCUGGGCAAAUACUAACACUGAGAGACGAAAGCGAGGGGAGCAAAUGGGAUUAGAAACCCCGGUAGUCC
rnacentral:rRNA from 1 species